UCACUCCACGAGGAGACUGCCUGUUACACGAGUGCAGUAGGAAGCCAAUAAACAUUGCUCGGAUCUUGUCUCCUGGACCUUGGAGGACUUUUGGUGUGGAUGAUGUCAUUCCACUGAACUGUACCGUUUGAUUGUCUUUCCUUUAUUGAAACUUGGACCUUGUUCACACGACAGGAUCUACCAAAGCAACGGUUCUCAAACAACUGUGGGGUGUUUGUUGUGAUGGAAAACAUACAUGCAGCAAAUUAGGCGAUGGUGGUGUCUAGUUCUCCUGCAGAACUUUCCCAUGCCGUCUGAAGAGUUAAAACGAUCAAAAAAUGAGUGAAAACAAAACACACUACAGGAUGAUGUAGAAGACUUCCCCCCAAGAAGUCACAGCAUGUCACAUCAGCAUCCAGCUGUGUAGGAUCAGACGAUACUGAAAACAAAAUGAAUGUGAACUGGGAGCUGUGAACUGGGAAGCAGAUGUUCUUCUAAGGGACACCUUAGAGGCAGCAAGGUGGUGUGAACUGCAAACACCGUUUCCCUCCCUAGUGUAAUUGGGAUGGACGGGGAAGACCGCAUUACAACCCUUAAAGAACUACGGUUGUAUGAUGGCCUGGAUGAAGAGGAAAAUAUUCUCCUCAAGGAACCAUUCCUGUUCCAGCUACAGAGAGAUGAGAUGUUCUAUGUGGAGGCAGUUGACAACAAGAACAUUACUGUCUUUGCCUGUUUUGAUGAGCAGGAGUGAAGCCAUUUUUGAGGAGUGGUCAAACCUUGUUUUUGUCUGCUGUGUUAAUUCUUUCAAUUGUUAAUUGUGUUAUGUUGUUCAGUGAAGAUGACGUAGCAUGAAGUGAAAAGUGUUACAACUCACCUGCUGGUACUUUAUUUCUUACGAUCUUCAAAAAUGAAAUAUGUUUGUAUUCAACAUGUGCCUGGUGCAAACGUGUGUGUUUGUAUUCAACAUGUGCCUGGUGCAAACGUGUGUGUUUGUAUUCAACAUGUGCCUGGUGCAAACGUGUGUGUUUGUAUUCAACAUGUGCCUGGUGCAAACGUGUGUGUUUGUAUUCAACAUGUGCCUGGUGCAAACGUGUGUGUUUGUAUUCAACAUGUGCCUGGUGCAAACGUGUGUGUUUGUAUUCAACAUGUGCCUGGUGCAAACGUGUGUGUUUGUAUUCAACAUGUGCCUGGUGCAAACGUGUGUGUUUGUAUUCACCAUGUGCCUGGUGCAAACGUGUGUGUUUGUAUUCAACAUGUGCCUGGUGCAAACGUGUGUGUUUGUAUUCAACAUGUGCCUGGUGCAAACGUGUGCGUUUGUAUUCACCAUGUGCCUGGUGCAAACGUGUGUGUUUGUAUUCAACAUGUGCCUGGUGCAAACGUGUGUGUUUGUAUUCAACAUGUGCCUGGUGCAAACGUGUGUGUUUGUAUUCAACAUGUGCCUUGUGCAAACGUGUGUGUUUGUAUUCAACAUGUGCCUGGUGCAAACGUGUGUGUUUGUAUUCACCAUGUGCCUGGUGCAAACGUGUGUGUUUGUAUUCAACAUGUGCCUGGUGCAAACGUGUGUGUUUGUAUUCACCAUGUGCCUGGUGCAAACGUGUGUGUUUGUAUUCAACAUGUGCCUGGUGCAAACGUGUGUGUUUGUAUUCAACAUGUGCCUGGUGCAAACGUGUGUGUUUGUAUUCAACAUGUGCCUUGCGCACACCUCAGAUGGACAAAAAAAAGGUGGGCUAUGAAGCCCCUAAAUAAGAUCUGUGGCAACCAAUUACCUAGAAGUCACAUAAUUAUUUAAAUAAAGUCCA